rnacentral:rRNA from 1 species
UACGGAGGGUGCAAGCGUUAAUCGGAAUUACUGGGCGUAAAGCGAGUGUAGGUGGCUAUGUAAGUCGGAUGUGAAAUCCCCGGGCUCAACCUGGGAACUGCAUUCGAUACUGCAUGGCUAGAGUCUGAUAGAGGGAAGUGGAAUUCCAGGUGUAGCGGUGAAAUGCGUAGAUAUCUGGAAGAACACCAGUGGCGAAGGCGGCUUCCUGGAUCAAGACUGACACUGAGGCUCGAAAGCGUGGGGAGCAAACAGG